rnacentral:tRNA from 1 species
UAGCUCAGUUAGUAAAGCACUCCACUGAAAAUGGAGAGGUCCCAGGUUCGAUACUAUAGACCUGG